rnacentral:snRNA from 1 species
GGCUUUGCACAGUGGCAUACCGUAGCCAAUGAGAUUUAUCCGAGGUGCAGUUAUUGCUAACUGAGAACUGGUGUGGGAGUUUUUCAACACUGAUCUCAAUUAUACCUGAAAGUUCUGGAUUAUUUGAGCUUUCCUGUUUGUGACUUUUAAAAACAUGUACAUG